AUUGAACGCUGGCGGCAUGCCUUACACAUGCAAGUUGAACGGCAGCACGGGAGCAAUCCUGGUGGCGAGUGGCGAACGGGUGAGUAAAGUAUCGGAACGUGCCCAGUCGUGGGGGAUAACGUAGCGAAAGUUACGCUAAUACCGCAUACGAUCUGUGGAUGAACGCGGGGGAUCGCAAGACCUCGCGCGAUUGGAGCGGCCGAUAUCAGAUUAGGUAGUUGGUGGGGUAAAGGUUCACCAAGCCGACGAUCUGUAGCUGGUCUGAGAGGACGAGCAGCCACACUGGGACUGAGACACGGCCCAGACUCCUACGGGAGGCAGCAGUGGGGAAUUUUGGACAAUGGGCGCAAGCCUGAUCCAGCCAUGCCGCGUGCAGGAUGAAGGCCUUCGGGUUGUAAACUGCUUUUGUACGUAACGAAAAGGUUUGGCCUAAUAAGCUGAGCUCAUGACGGUACCGUAAGAAUAAGCACCGGCUAACUACGUGCCAGCCGCCGCCGUAA
rnacentral:rRNA from 1 species